AAUGAUUAUGCUUCUAAGACAUCUGUUCAUCUCAUCAUUUUUGUGUCCUCCUGUGGUUUAUGCAAUUGAGACCAAUGGAUGUUCCUGGGGGUGAAAAUGUGAAUAUAUAAAAUAUCUCAUUAAAAGAAAAAGGAUUCUGAUGACUGCUCCUCCAAGUGAUCUUCGCCCCUCAGACCAUGGUGGUUGUUCGUUUGGAAAUUUCUCCCUUCUUCAGAGAGAGGACUAGUGUGUGAUUUCAAAUGCUGCUGCUUCUUUUGGCUUUAAAAUAAAACAGAUUUAUUUAGAUAUAAUUUGCAUACCAUAAAGUGCACCUGUUUUAAGUGUUCAAACCUAUGAA